ensembl:lncRNA
UCACGCCAAACUGCCUGAGCGCAAGGAACUGUAGCUAGAUUAUUAAUUUCACUGCAACGUUAUAUUGUCCUAAAAUCUAUUUUUCAAUGUGUACCACUUGCAUAAACACUGCAUACAUAGGCAAUAUUAUCCAUAGGGGCUGCCAUUGUUGUUUCGCGGGGCUAUGUGACAUCAGAGCUCGGAACUGGGAGUACAUCGACCUAGUAUGAGUUCACGGGUGGGAAGUCACGGGUUUGACUGCCGUUCCAGUGCACUUUCACGGGUAGAAGGUUAGAAAAACACGGGUUACGGGUUGCCUGGAACGUGGCAAUAAUACACUGUAAAAAAUCCAAUUAACAAAUUGUUGGAAGGGCAAAAAUAUUUAAGUUGAGCUAAUUUUAUUGCUUGGGCUUAGUUGAGAGGACAUAUUAUAUUAAGUCUACACAAAUAUAUUUGAAAAACAUGAACGGUUAUUUUCAAAUCUAUGCUAAUGUUGACUAAUCUAAUAAAAACUAAUCCAGCCAACACUGAGAUCAUUCUGCAUGUGCACGAGCCUGAGUGACUUCACGGGAGAAACAGCGCCAUCUUGUUAAGUUCACGAGUCAGAUGCUGGCCAGUCACUUCUUCAAAGGCUCCAAACACUGCCAUGUGACCAGGCUGCUCCACUGCAACUACAUAGUGUGUGUGUACUUUCAACACUAAGACUUAAGGUCACCGUAGCCACCAGAUCCAGUCUGUAUCCAGAUCAGAUGGUGGAUCAGCACCUAGACACACCCUUGACAGCCC